AUCCUACGGGGCGCAGCAGUGGGGAAUAUUGCACAAUGGGGGAAACCCUGAUGCAGCAACGCCGCGUGAGUGAAGAAGUCAUUCGUGAUGUAAAGCUCUAUCAGCAGGGAAGAAAAUGACGGUACCUGAGUAAGAAGCCCCGGCUAACUACGUGCCAGCAGCCGCGGUAAUACGUAGGGGGCAAGCGUUAUCCGGAUUUACUGGGUGUAAAGGGAGCGUAGACGGCCAUGCAAGCCUGGAGUGAAAG
rnacentral:rRNA from 1 species